AACCUGUUUGGGUUUGAGCUGAGAUAAGGGGCUUUGUUGUUCAACUUAGGAAUGUGCUGCCAGCCAAUCACAAUGGUGGAAUUGGGAGAAGGUGUCUAGAGGACACUGGUGUAGGUGGAGAUCUUUUUCGCAGGAGCUGGAAGAACAGAGGAGGGAAGAUGGCUGAGGAUACACAAGGUGCUUUGUGCAGAUGAAUGGCUUCGAGGAGGAUGGACCAAUAUUCCCGUGGGAGAGCUCAUUUGUUUGAGAUGGAUUUCGAGCGACAUUCGGAAGGUGGUGUGUUUUUUCAUGCAGUCCGAGGGUCCAGCGUAAAUGCAGGACACUAGAGGAGAAAGCUGCUGCCGAGCUCAACAAAUUCUGAAUAAAGCCACGGGGGAGGUUAAACUUCUGUGCCACAGCCCACAUGUUCAUCUCUUUGAAAAGCGAGUAAAGGACCAAAGUCAGUGAAAUCCAAGAUCUACAGCACCUCUACUACAACAGCAGAUCAAGAACUUCGGAGAAGAUAAGCAAGUGAGUUGUACACCAUGGAUUACUUGUGGAAGUACUAGACCAUGGAUGUGUGCUUUUGUGAUUACAUCCAAUUAGUUAUGACCCAUUAGUUUAAGUGAACAGUGCCAAUCAACUAUUAUAUUUUUAUUGUAUGUGAUU